GACGAACGCUGGCGGCGUGCUUAACACAUGCAAGUCGAACGGUGAAGCGCCUUCCUUUUUGGUGGGUGUGGAUGAGUGGCGAACGGGUCAGUAACACGUGAGUAACCUGCCCCCUUCUUCUGGAUAACCGCAUGAAAGUGUGGCUAAUACGGGAUAUUCUGGGUCUGUCGCAUGAUGGGUCUGGGAAAGAUAUUGUUUCGGUGGGGGAUGGGCUCGCGGCCUAUCAGCUUGUUGGUGGGGUGAUGGCCUACCAAGGCGGUGACGGGUAGCCGGCCUGAGAGGGUGGACGGUCACACUGGGACUGAGACACGGCCCAGACUCCUACGGGAGGCAGCAGUGGGGAAUAUUGCACAAUGGGCGCAAGCCUGAUGCAGCGACGCCGCGUGAGGGAUGGAGGCCUUCGGGUUGUGAACCUCUUUCGCCAGUGAAGCAGGCCUGCCUCGUUUGUGGGUGGGUUGACGGUAGCUGGAUAAGAAGCGCCGGCUAACUACGUG
rnacentral:rRNA from 1 species